rnacentral:misc_RNA from 1 species
UUUUCUUAUUCCAUUCCCUAGACUGGUAGACUAUGGGUUUUCUGCAGAACUCUUCCACGUUUUUCACUGCUGCUAAAUGGCUUGGAUUUGUCACCGCCGUUUGGGUUCAAGCUAUUUCAGGCAACAAUUACACUUUCUCUAAUUAUUCCGAUGCUCUAAAGACUCUUAUGAACUUGACCCAACUCCAGCUUAACAGUUUAUCUGUCGCUAAAGAUGUGGGUAAGGCCUUUGGCCUCCUUGCUGGUCUUGCCUCUGACCGCUU